CAGAGAAGGAAGUCCCACAUGAGCAACCCUUCUCUGCCUGGGGGUUGCUCACCACCUGGAAGGAGCUUCGGAUCAGCUCCUGGCUGAAGUCCACCAUGGAACCUUUCACGAAGGCCAGGCUGUCCACAUCCACAACCACACGGGCACCACCUUGUUCAAACACCCUACAAAAAAGCGGCAUAUUUAACCAUUAACUGUGCCAAAGACCUUCCAGAGAAGCACAGCCUGAGCAGUCUCCUUAUCUCAUAGGCUUCUUCCCUUCAAUGCAAGAUCCUACAGUCACACAUACCUCCUCUGCCAUUUUUACAAAGAACAGUAAUACCUGAUCACCAUUACACCCCUUUGUCCUUGCCUGUCAUCAGGAUUGAUAACUGUGUCCAAGGAAAACUUGUACUGGAAGCCAGAGCAGCCACCUCCUUCCACCUGCAGCCUGAGAAACUCUGAGCCUUCUGCAAUCUCCAGCAGUCUCUGCAAAUAAGGAAAAGGAUUAAAAGGCCUACUGAGCAAACUAGUGACACUUAAACGCCUCCCUUGUGCACCCACGGCAGGCCGGGCACUUCGGAAAUCCCUCCCAGAGACACCGGAGCCCUCCUGGGGUCCCCACCUUCACGCAGCUUUCGCUGAGGAAGACCUGUCCUUCGCUGGGCUCGCUCUCCGUCGGGCCCGGCUGGGAGAAGGACGACUCCCACCGCAGCGGGCGGACAGCCCGGGCAGGCUCAGGCGAGGGCCUCGGCAGCGCUCGUCCUCGGCACGGCGGAGCGGGGCCCCAGCUGCCUCGGGGAGAAGGGAGGACAGGGGGAGCCUCAGCGGGGUCCCCGCCACGCCGCCCGACCCCCGCAGAUGCCGCCCCUUGCCGCGCAGCGGAGACACUCGGCAUCCCCGGGGGAGGACCCUAGGGCUCGGGUAUCCAAGGGAGCGGUACCUCAUUCGGCCGCCCAGCGCCAGCACCCACCACCGCCGCAGCGCCCCCGGCGCCGCCAUAAUGGCCCAGCCCCGCCCCGCCGCCACGGCGUCCACAGAGGCGGAAGUGCCGCCCCGGCAGGCGGACGGGCACCGGGGACCGGCGUCCGUGCGCCGGCACAGCUAGGCCGCUGGGCCCGGAAACCCGCUGCAGCUUCGCAUAAAGGCACGAAGCCGCCUUUCGUCCUUGGAGGUGCUCGCAGAGGGAAGCAAACAGCAGUAAAACAGUGGGGAGCAAUAAACAGCGCAGUGCUGCCCGUCAUCGCGUGCUUGUGCCGCGAGUAGCCGUGAGGUUGUUUAUCCUGAGUAGAACUCAGGGAGGGAUCAAGGUGCCGCCGCAGGGGAGUUAGGCAAGCAGAAGAGCAAACACGGGGCCAGAGUUGAGAGCUUUUAGGGUUUUCCCCUGAUUCCGACUAGUCUGCUCUCCUUUAUCAGUGGCCUGGCCGGUCGAUCACAGAUGCACCUGCGGUUAAAAGUCUUUAUCGCUUCCUCAUGUGCUUCUGGGGGAGGAAUCCUGUUCCUCAGCCCCAGCCAGGUCUGUGGAGAGUCAUACAGUGACUGUGUGGAAGACUCGUGGAGGAAAACCAGUCAUCCCAGCAAGAGGAGAUGAUUUACCAUCAGGGGACCUUGGGACCCUGUGACAGUUUGCUUUCUCACCGUCCUGCUCCAAGAAAGGCAAUGCUUUUGAAACCACGUGCCUUUGCUUAUUUGUUCCAAACCUGAGCAUGUAAAUAAAGACUGGUUUGAGCUGUUUAA